ACCUGGCUGGCUCAGUUGGUGGAGCGUAUAACUCUUGAUCUCAGGAUUGUGGGUUCAAGCCCCAUGUUGGGUG
rnacentral:tRNA from 1 species